rnacentral:lncRNA from 1 species
AAGAAAAAUACAUGUUUAUUACAUGGAGAAAAGGAUAGACAAACACUAGCAUAAGGUAAAGAGUUGCCUUUUACAAACAGGAGGAGUCUAAAGCUUUAUGAUUAUGUAAAAUAGUUGGUCUGGUUUCUGGUUUUAAUUUUUCACUCUGAAAAUAGAAAACAUGCUAACAAGAUGACCAUUUCCAGGGGUAAUAAAAUUUGAAUCACAAAUUAGCACUAUGUGCCUCUACUAAACUGUCUUGAAUUAGUUCUCUACAAUAGCUACAGAAUGCCAGUUAAACCCAAAACUUGACCUGGAGUACCAGAGAGCAUUUAAUGGAGAAAAUCUCUACCAAGUAAGACUUUCAUGGCUAGGCUCCUUGUUAUUUAAAAUAAUCUCCAUAGUUUUAGAAAUAACCCAUCUUUUUCUUGAACAGGAGUUGCUGUCCCUUUGUCUUCCUGAAGAUUACCUAUCAUUACAACUGACCUUGCU